rnacentral:rRNA from 1 species
GACCAGACUCCUACGGGAGGCAGCAGUGGGGAAUAUUGGGCAAUGGAGGAAACUCUGACCCAGCAAUGCCGCGUGAAUGAAGAAGGUCUUCGGAUUGUAAAGUUCUUUAGUCAGGGAAGAAGUCAAUGACGGUACCUGAAGAAUAAGCUCCGGCUAACUACGUGCCAGCAGCCGCGGUAAUACGUAGGGGGCAAGCGUUAUCCGGAUUUACUGGGUGUAAAGGGGGCGCAGACGGCAGCGCAAGCCAGGAGUGAAAGCCCGGGGCCCAACCCCGGGACUGCUCUUGGAACUGCGCGGCUGGAGUGCAGGAGGGGCAGGCGGAAUUCCUGGUGUAGCGGUGAAAUGCGUAGAUAUCAGGAGGAACACCGGUGGCGAAGGCGGCCUGCUGGACUGUAACUGACGUUGAGGCUCGAAAGCGUGGGGAGCAAACAGGAUUAGAUACCCGCGUAC